rnacentral:misc_RNA from 1 species
UGGGGAGCCUGAGUUUAUGGAGAGGAUGGAGGUGAAGUAUCAUGAUAAGGCUGUAGAAAAUGGAUCCUUGCUUGUUUCGGCAUGUGGGUUUGAUUCUAUUCCUGCUGAAUUGGGGUUGAUGUUCAAUUCGAGACAGUGGCUGCCGCCGGCUGUUCCUAACAGUGUUGAGGCCUACCUUAGUCUAGAAUCGGAUAAGAGAAUUGUUGGAAACUUGGGGACGUAUGAGUCAGCGGUGCUUGGUGUGGCUAAUGUGGACAAAUUACAGGAGCUGCGACGGAGCAGACCAAAGAGCCCUCGUCCUGUGAUUCCUGGUCCUCGUCCUCCUAAAGGUCCUUUGAUGGACCACCUAAAGGAAGUUGGUGUUUGGGCCGUAAAGUUACCAUCAGCAGAUGCAAUUGUGGUCCGAAGAACACUUUCAUGUUUGGCUGAAAAUCCUCAUGGUUUACCUGGUGUUAAUGAAAGCAGUGAACAAGUUGAGAGGAGGGAGGCAUUUUGGUCAAGCAUAAAGCCAGCUCACUUUGGUGUGAAGAUAGCAUCAAAAUCUCCAUUAGGAGUUGUUCGUUUCAUUAUAGUCGGGCUGUUCAUUGGUCUCUUUGGUAAAAUUGGUUUAGGGAGGUGGCUGCUAUUGAAAUUCCCUUCAUUGUUCAGUCUUGGAUGGUUCAGGAAAAAAGGUCCAACUGAAGAUGAAGUGGCAAGUGCUACUUUUAAGAUGUGGUUUGUUGGACACGGGUAUAGCGAUGGCAGUCUUGCAUCACAAGGAAACAGGAAGCCUGAUACAGAGAUAAUUACAAGAGUAAUGGGACCUGAGAUUGGUUAUUUAACAACUCCAAUCAUUCUUGUCCAGUGUGCUCUCAUUUUGCUCAAGGAACGAAACAAUCUUCCAAAGGGAGGUGUUUUCCCACCUGGGAUUGUGUUUGGCCCAACCGACCUCCAAGACAGGCUUCAACACAAUGGGAUAUCUUUUGACGUUAUUUCAAAGAAAACAAUCUAACUAAAUGGAAGUGUUCCCUUCUAUUCACAGAGGAAAUUUUGAUUUUCUUCUGAAGGGAGAAAGAUACUAGUUACUUAUGCUUUCAUUGUACGUUUUUCUGAAUGUUUAUAUGCUUGUUUAAUAACUUAAGGUGCUUCCUCAACAUUUUUCUUUCCGUAUUUAGAUUACUGGAUAAGCUCUACUUUGUUUAACAAUUUGUUAGGUCUGUUAACUCCUGUGGAUCUCUGAUAUCAGGAGCUUCCACUUUACACCUAUAACCUUGCUAUAAUUUA